rnacentral:rRNA from 1 species
UGACGGUACCUGACUAAGAAGCUCCGGCUAAAUACGUGCCAGCAGCCGCGGUAAUACGUAUGGAGCAAGCGUUAUCCGGAUUUACUGGGUGUAAAGGGUGUGUAGGCGGCAUGGCAAGUCAGAAGUGAAAGACCGGGGCUCAACCCCGGGGCUGCUUUUGAAACUGCUGUGCUCGAGUCCAGGAGGGGCAAGCGGAAUUCCUAGUGUAGCGGUGAAAUGCGUAGAUAUUAGGAAGAACACCGGUGGCGAAGGCGGCUUGCUGGACUGGAACUGACGCUGAGGCACGAAAGCGUGGGGAGCAAACAGGAUUAGAUACCCUG